UACAGAGGGGGCAAGCGUUAUUCGGAAUUAUUGGGCGUAAAGGGCGCGUAGGCGGCCUGGCAAGUGGAAGGUGAAAUCCCGCGGCUUAACCGAGGAACUGCCCUCCAAACUGCUUGGCUUGAGUCCGGGAGAGGUGAGUGGAAUUCCCAGUGUAGCGGUGAAAUGCGUAGAUAUUGGGAGGAACACCAGUGGCGAAGGCGGCUCACUGGACCGGAACUGACGCUGAGGCGCGAAAGCGUGGGGAGCAAACGGG
rnacentral:rRNA from 1 species